rnacentral:misc_RNA from 1 species
AAGUCGUAACAAGGUUUCCGUAGGUGAACCUGCGGAAGGAUCAUUAACAAAAAAAUACAAAAAAAUAAAAAACACUUUAUCAACCCCUUUAGAUCUUUAAAUUGGUGCCAUUAUUGACCCUAUUUUUUAUCUAUCUUAAACGAAACUUAAAACAAUUCAAAACACACAAUUAACAUAAAACAACAAUCACACUGAUAAUAAUUGGUGUCUAAAAAUCAAAUUAAUAAGAAACAACUCUUAACAAUGGAUAUCUCGGCUCUCGU